rnacentral:rRNA from 1 species
CAACGGAUUCCCUAGUACGGCGAGUGAAGAGGGAAGAGCCCAAGAUUGAAAGCUGGCGCCUUCGGCGUCCGCAUUGUAAUCUCAAGAAGUGUUUUCCGCUUCGGACCAUGCCUAAGUCCCUUGGAAAAGGGCAUCAUAGAGGGUGAUAAUCCCGUACAUGGCAUGGAGCGCCCGAAGCUUUGUGAUACGCUUUCUAAGAGUCGAGUUGUUUGGGAAUGCAGCUCAAAAUGGGUGGUAAAUGCCAUCUAAGGCUAAAUAUUGGGGAGAGACCGAUAGCGAACAAGUACAGUGAUGGAAAGAUGAAAAGAACUUUGAAAAGAGAGUUAAACAGUACGUGAAAUUGCCAAAAGGGAAGGGUAGGAGGUCAGAGAUGCGUUCUAGGAUUCAGCCUUGCUUUUGCAUGGUGUUUUUUCUAGUUUGCAGGCCAACGUCGGUUUUGGGCACUGGAGAAGGGUGGAAGGAAUGUGGCACCUCUCGGGGUGUGUUAUAGCCUUCUACUGGAUACAGCGACCGAGACCGAGGACAGCAGCGUACUCGCAAGAGCGGGCCUUCGGGCACCUUUACGCUUAGGGCGUUGGCAUAAUGGCCCUCUACCACCCGUCUUGAGCCCCCGGACACAAA